rnacentral:rRNA from 1 species
GAAAUCUGCCCGGUAGUGGGGGAUAACCUGGGGAAACCCAGGCUAAUACCGCAUACGUCCUACGGGAGAAAGCAGGGGAUCUUCGGACCUUGCGCUAUCGGAUGAGUCUAUGUCGGAUUAGCUUGUUGGUGAGGUAAUGGCUCACCAAGGCGACGAUCCGUAGCUGGUCUGAGAGGAUGAUCAGCCACAUCGGGACUGAGACACGGCCCGAACUCCUACGGGAGGCAGCAGUGGGGAAUAUUGGACAAUGGGCGCAAGCCUGAUCCAGCCAUGCCGCGUGUGUGAAGAAGGCCUUCGGGUUGUAAAGCACUUUCAGUGGGGAAGAAAGCCUUGGGGCUAAUACCCUCGAGGAAGGACAUCACCCACAGAAGAAGCACCGGCUAACUCCGUG